CCUACGGGUGGCAGCAGUGAGGAAUAUUGGUCAAUGGGCGCAAGCCUGAACCAGCCAAGUAGCGUGCAGGAUGACUGCCCUACGGGUUGUAAACUUCUUUUAUAAAGGAAUAAAGUGAGGCACGUGUGCCUUUUUGUGUGUACUUUAUGAAUAAGAAUCGGCUAACUCCGUGCCAGCAGCCGCGGUAAUACGGAGGAUCCGAGCGUUAUCCGGAUUUAUUGGGUUUAAAGGGGGCGUAGAUGGGUUGUUAAGUCAGUGGUGAAAGUUUGCGGCUCAACCGUAGAAUUGCAGUGGAUACUGGCAGCCUUGAGUGCAGUUGAGGUAGGCGGAAUUCGUGGUGUAGCGGUGAAAUGCUUAGAUAUCACGAAGAACUCCGAUUGCGAAGGCAGCUUACCAAGCUGCAACUGACAUUGAUGCUCGAAAGUGUGGGUAUCAAACAGGAUUAGAUACCCCUGUAGUC
rnacentral:rRNA from 1 species